rnacentral:rRNA from 1 species
UUCGUCCUACGGGAGGCAGCAGUGAGGAAUAUUGGUCAAUGGCCGAGAGGCUGAACCAGCCAAGUCGCGUGAGGGAUGACGGCCCUACGGGUUGUAAACCUCUUUUGUCGGGGAGCAAGACCCGCCUCGUGCAGGCGGAGCGAGAGUACCCGAAGAAAAAGCAUCGGCUAACUCCGGGCCAGCAGCCGCGGGAAUACGGAGGAUGCGAGCGUUAUCCGGAUUUAUUGGGUUUAAAGGGGGCGCAGGCGGGGGAUCAAGGCAGCGG